rnacentral:rRNA from 1 species
UACGUAGGGUGCGAGCGUUGUCCGGAAUUAUUGGGCGUAAAGGGCUCGUAGGCGGUCUGUUGCGUCGGGAGUGAAAACUCAGGGCUUAACCCUGAGCCUGCUUCCGAUACGGGCAGACUAGAGGUAUGCAGGGGAGAACGGAAUUCCUGGUGUAGCGGUGAAAUGCGCAGAUAUCAGGAGGAACACCGGUGGCGAAGGCGGAUCUCUGGGACGGUACUGACGCUGAGACGCGAAAGCGUGGGGAGCGAACAGG